GACGAACGCUGGCGGCGUGCUUAACACAUGCAAGUCGAACGGAAAGGCCCUGCUUUUGUGGGGUGCUCGAGUGGCGAACGGGUGAGUAACAAGUGAGUAACCUGCCCUUGACUUUGGGAUAACUUCAGGAAACUGGGGCUAAUACCGGAUAGGAGCUCCUGCUGCAUGGUGGGGGUUGGAAAGUUUCGGCGGUUGGGGAUGGACUCGCGGCUUAUCAGCUUGUUGGUGGGGUAGUGGCUUACCAAGGCUUUGACGGGUAGCCGGCCUGAGAGGGUGACCGGCCACAUUGGGCCUGAGAUACGGCCCAGACUCCUACGGGAGGCAGCAGUGGGGAAUAUUGCACAAUGGGCGGAAGCCUGAUGCAGCAACGCCGCGUGCGGGAUGACGGCCUUCGGGUUGUAAACCGCUUUCGCCUGUGACGAAGCGUGAGUGACGGUAAUGGGUAAAGAAGCACCGGCUAACUACGUG
rnacentral:rRNA from 1 species